rnacentral:rRNA from 1 species
CGGCUCAGUAACACGUGGACAACCUACCCUUAGGUCGGGGAUAAACCCGGGAAACUGGGUAUAAUACCCGAUAGAUCUCGACUGCUGGAAUGCAUCGAGAUCCAAAGCUCCGGCGCCUAAGGAUGGGUCUGCGGCCUAUCAGGUAGUAGUGGGUGUAGCGUACCUACUAGCCUACGACGGGUACGGGUUGUGAGAGCAAGAGCCCGGAGAUGGAUUCUGAGACACGAAUCCAGGCCCUACGGGGUGCAGCAGGCGCGAAAACUUUACAAUGCUGGAAACAGCGAUAAGGGGACCUCGAGUGCCAGGUUACAAAUCUGGCUGUCGUGAUGCCUAAAAAGCAUUGCAUAGCAAGGGCCGGGCAAGACCGGUGCCAGCCGCCGCGGUAACGCCGGCGGCUCGAGUGGUAACCGUUAUUAUUGGGUCUAAAGGGUCUGUAGCCGGCCGGAUAAGUCUCUUGGGAAAUCCAGCAGCUCAACUGUUGGGCUUUCAGGAGAUACUGUCUGGCUCGCGGCCGGGAGAGGUGAGAGGUACUUCAGGGGUAGGGGUGAAAUCUUGUAAUCCUUGAAGGACCACCAGUGGCGAAGGCGUCUCACCAGAACGAACCUGACGGCAAGGGACGAAAGCUAGGGGCACGAACCGGAUUAGAUACCCGGGUAGUCCUAGCC